UCCUUCGCCUUCGAAACACGACACAUCCUAUUGCCCUUCCGUUCCCCUAUCGCUCGUCGACGGUGGCGGCUUCCAGAUCCGGUGCUUCCCCGGUGGACGAGGACUACUCCCACGGCACCUGCUCAAUGCCUCCCUCCUCACACUCCAGCAUCCAGGUCGGUUGGCUACGUCCCCCUUGCACCCCAACAUCGUGCUGCACAUUGUCGUCAGGGACCAGGCCGCCGCCGCCACGGCCUCCUCCUCCCCGGUGGCCGCGGGCACCCCAUCUACUCAGUUGAACAUUCGUAUCUUCCCAUAGGCAACCUGGUGGUUCUCGAGCGUGCGGUGAUGCUUCCACGGUCUACUCCUCCCCGGUGCUCCUAGAUCCAACAAUAGCUCACCGGAGGCAAGCUGGUGGGGCUGCAUCUACUCACCUCCUUCGCCUCACAAGCUCAACAUGAAGGAAAUGAAGAUUGAUGAGCUAGAAGGACUAUAACUGGAUGCAAAGGGAACUAACUUUUCUUUCAUGUGCUAUCAAGAUAACAAACCUGAUGCAAGCUUUGGUAGCGAUGCGUAUUCAGCGGGGAUCACUUUAGUACUUCAUACUUGGGGCUUGCUGUUCAUGUACUAGAAAAUUAUUAUGUCAUGUUAUGUGCCAAGUUAUAUAUGUAUGUCUCUUGUGUACUCAAAUUAGGAUGGAUGACAUGCACUCAAAUUAGGAUGGAUCACUUCAGUCCUUCAUACUCGGCUUGCUGGUUUUCUGUAUGGUUGGGCAACAACAAUCUGCACUGCUUACAAAUUGUGCUGCUGCAGUAUAUGGAAGCAUCAAUCACCUGAAAUCUGGAGCAUUUUUAACAUGAAGUUCUCCUGAAAAAACUUGUAUUCAGAAUGCAGAUUUGUGUCACGGACCUAUGAUGUACUUUGUGUCGUAAUUAUUUUAAACUCCACAAAACAGUUCUUGAGGACA